UCUUCAAUCACUUAUGUAAUCAUUCUUCCAGUAGGAUGUAAUCUGUAAUCACUUCUAUGCUUGUUUGUGUUGCUUAUUAUUUAUCUAUCUUAAACACGCAAUUUAAAUGUGUUGCUAGAAUAAAAAAUUCUCCAUACCAUUGUGUGUGCAUUGCGCUUUAUUUUCUAGAGAGAUUUUUUUUCAGCGGCCGUCUACUUUUGUUUAAUAUUAUAUUCUGGAGGGUUAUGGAGGCAGAGUUCUGAUAAAGUUUAGUCCUACACUAUGGGAGCAUAAAAUUUAUCCAUUUUACGAAUAGUAAACAUUGGCUAUUUAAUCUCUAAUGUAAAUACGAGGAAUGUUAAGAACAACCAAACUUUUUACAAAAUGAGACGCAUUCACAUUACAUGGUGAGUAGUUACAGAAGGUCUAGGAAGCAUCAAGGCAAGGGCACCCCAUAUCCCAAAGUGAAGGAUUAACAAGUUGGACUGCAUUCUGAGGCAUGUUUCCUUUAUGGUGGAGCUGUCGUGGUACAUUCAUUGCAAGGUUACGGUGGAGGGCCUUGACAAUGCUCGGUAAUGAAGUCUUAUGCUGGCACCAUAGAGUUGAAAUAAAAGCAAACUUGGAAAGAAUCACAAGAAGCUAUUGUGAUUUGGUCCAUUUAAAGCCUCAAGUUGGAGCCUUCCCUUGGACAUUCCUUACCCCCACCCCCUCCACUCUUUUUUUGAUUGAACGCAAGUUCUUUUUUUUUUUCAUUCAUUCUUCUUUUCUUUUUUUUUUCCUUUUUUUUU